GGAGACCACAUUAAGGUGCCUGGUCUCAACCAACCCCACUACCUGGAGACGUCAACUGGUCUGGUUGGCGUAUGCCCGGAACACCCUUCCCAGUUCUGCCAUGGGACUCACCCCAUGGAGCACUUGAAAGGGGAAUCAGCCUCCACUCUUCCCGGAACAAGAGCAGGAGGUCAGCGUACCCUCGGCCCAAAUGUUUGUCCGAAUAGCCAGGGCAGCUAUUUAAGACCAACUCCAGGUAUCGUCAACAAGUGGACCGUCGCCGGACUCCAGCUCCCUGCUACCGCAGAGGGCCCAUCUCUCCCCCCAGGUUAUUGGUGGCCAGCCAGCGUAUACGUCCUCCCGGUUUUGACCCUUGCCUGUUUCUGGACUCUGUACCU
rnacentral:lncRNA from 1 species